rnacentral:lncRNA from 1 species
AAAUUUCAUUCAAUGCAAAGGUGUGUACAAAAGGAGACCCCUAAGCCUUCUUAUAUAGCCUUUGGAGUGAGCUUGGAAGCUAGAACUAGGAGAUGUGGGACUUUUGAGGGUGUAGUCCGUCCAGCAGCUGCUGCACAUCCUCUAGGGGCUUUUAAGUCCCACAUUGCUCAAAUCUCUCCACUCCAAAGGGUUUAUAAGGCAACUAGUUCUCCUCUAGUUCAAAACAUGAAAACUAGCUAUGCUACUAACUCCUACACGCCUAGAAUGCUCACUUUCUCUUCUCUUCUUUUUANNAUCAAGCCAUGGAUAGUCCCACAUUGCUUGCUCUUAAAGAGAAAGAAGAGUUUAUAAGCAAUUAUUCACAAGAACUAAGAGAAAGAAAUCAAAAGGCAAAUACACACCCAAAGGAAAC